rnacentral:rRNA from 1 species
AUUGAACGCUGGCGGCAUGCUUUACACAUGCAAGUCGAACGGUAACAGGCCGCAAGGUGCUGACGAGUGGCGAACGGGGGAGUAAUGCAUCGGAACGUGCCCAGUCGUGGGGGAUAACUACUCGAAAGAGGAGCUAAUACCGCAUACGAGCUAUGGAUGAAAGCGGGGGACCGUAAGGCCUCGCGCGAUUGGAGCUGCCGAUGUCAGAUUAGGUAGCUGGUGGGGUAAAGGCUCACCAAGCCAACGAUCUGUAGCUGGUCUGAGAGGACGACCAGCCACACUGGGACUGAGACACGGCCCAGACUCCUACGGGAGGCAGCAGUGGGGAAUUUUGGACAAUGGGCGCAAGCCUGAUCCAGCAAUGCCGCGUGCAGGAAGAAGGCCUUCGGGUUGUAAACUGCUUUUGUACGGAACGAAACGGCUCUGGUUAAUACCCGGGGCUAAUGACGGUACCGUAAGAAUAAGCACCGGCUAACUACGUG